AUACGUAGGGGGCGAGCGUUGUCCGGAAUGAUUGGGCGUAAAGGGCGCGUAGGCGGCCCGGUAAGUCUGGAGUGAAAGUCCUGUUUUUAAGAUGGGAAUUGCUUUGGAUACUGUCGGGCUUGAGUGCAGGAGAGGUAAGUGGAAUUCCCAAUGUAGCGGUGAAAUGCGUAGAGAUUGGGAGGAACACCAGUGGCGAAGGCGACUUACUGGACUGUAACUGACGCUGAGGCGCGAAAGUGUGGGGAGCAAACAGGAUUAGAUACCCUGGUAGUCCACACUGUAAACGAUGAAUGCUAGGUGUAGGGGGUAUCGACCCCUUCUGUGCCGCAGUCAACACAAUAAGCAUUCCGCCUGGGGAGUACGGCCGCAAGGUUGAAACUCAAAUGAAUUGGCGGGG
rnacentral:rRNA from 1 species